AGCAAAAUGAUGAGGAUUUUAUGUCCAAACGUGAUGUGGAAUCAAUGAUCCAUUAGCUUUCAAAGUCCUCUGAUUGCU